ensembl:snRNA U2 U2 spliceosomal RNA
AUCACUUCUCGGCCUUUUGGCUAAGAUCAGGUGUAGUAUCUGUUCUUAUCAGUUUAAACUAUACCUUUAAUCAAGUGCUAACCAAUGUAGGUAGCAUAUAUACUUCUU